CAAACUGAAAAUAAUAAUAAUUGACAUCAAUCGUUCGAUCCAAAAACUUUGCCAAGAAUCUUCAAAUAUGGAUUUCGACAUAAACAAUGUAUAUUAGAUCUCCAGUGUUUGGUACGAAUUAGCUCGCAAUCUAGCUCCAAAAACUGUUUACCGUGCUCACAACCUAACUGCUUUGUUACUGCUUUGCUGAACAAUGUGAUAUUUCCUUCACACACUCAAACACAGCUGAUUUCCCAUUUGUUAACCAAACAAUGUAUUCUUAUAUUUUUGCUCAGCACAACAACACGCAAGGCUAUAAUAUUUCAUUCACGGUGUAUAAUAAAGUAUACCCUUAUUCCACGUACAAGGCGCUCGAUACAAAUUACCUAACUUAUAUAUACGUUUGUGGUUAUACUAAUGUCUUUGACUUCAGCACUUUUUUUGGAAUAAUAAUAACUCGACAGCGCAUAUUCAAUUCUAGUGUUCUUACAGAGUACGAAAACAUAGCACAAUCAAAAUAUAGGCGACAAUAUCUCAAACUUUAGAAUGUACUUCCAGUUAUGGAGCUGUGACUAUAAAACUGGUUUCAUAUGUUAUGGCGUUGUUUUAUGUUGCAAUCUCUUU